AGUAAGAACUCAGAGCUGCACAAAACAGGCAAGAACUGCAUGCUCAUUAUGUCUGUCAGAGACACAGUCCACCCCCAUCUGCACCCAAAGAGUUCUUUUCAGAGAACUCCAUUCAGAUCCAGCUGCCAGCCUGUGGUCAGCUGCAGAGUUACUGAAGCUGCUUAAUUGGAAAGCCUAAUUGUGCUACCCGUUAAGCUUCAUGUUCAGAGUUACCGGGGACUUCAAUUCACAGUAAACACUGAAUGUUCGAGGAUGGCCCAGAAACUGUGGGGAACAACUUUUAAAUGUGCAUUUUUCAUAAAAGGGGUCUGAACAGUAUGAUGUUAUUUUGUAUACUGGAAUGCAAUCAUAUUCUUUACUGAGUGCAAAACUAAACCACAUAUGCUCUAGUCAGGCCAGAAAGAGGUUCAAAAAACGGUGCUUGAAAAACAGUAAAAAAAUGUUACCUCCCUCAGAGAAAAGGUGUUGAAACAAACCAGGUUGGUGUUUGUUUUUGUUAAUAUUUAAUCAUUUCUAACACACACUUCACUUGUAAUAAAAAUACUGUUCUUCAGGUUGAAAGAUGAACUUUCUGGGCAUUUUCUAUUAACUGGAAAAGGGAAGCAAAACAACAAAAAAUAAAAUUUAAAAAUUCCUU
rnacentral:lncRNA from 1 species